rnacentral:rRNA from 1 species
AUGGAUUGUCAUUGGGGUCUGAAUGAGAUUUUAUAUUCUAUAGAGAAGGAAGGUGGAGCAAUGGGACCACUGAAAUAUAUGCAAGCUUUCAGGGAUUAUUGGACGGAUUGUCAACUGGAUGAUCUGGGGUACAUUGGUAACAUGUUUACAUGGCACAGAGGUGGCAUUCGAGAACAUUUGGCUAUGGCUCUUGGAAAUUCAGUGUGGAUAUCUAUGUUCCCAGAUGCAGGUCUACGUAAUCUCACUAUGGCUAGUUCUGAUCAUCAGCCUAUAAUGAUGGACACGUUAACCUACUCGACUAUACAGAGUGGUAGGGGCCGUAAGAGAUUCGAGGGAAAUUGGUUCAAGGAAGAAAUGUUUCGAGAGGUGGUGCAGGCGGCAUGGGAUCAUGCCCCGCCGGCUGCUCCAGUGAUGCCUAAGCUUGCGGAGCUUCACAGUGAGCUACACGAAUGGGGUAGAGAAGUGUUGAAAGCACCACUAAAAAAAGUAAAGGACCUGACUAGGGAGCUAGACCGAGUGUUGGCAGGCCCGAUGGGUGCUGACUCUGUUCAGUGA